GUAUCACUGUCCUCAGUGAGAGCGCAACAGUGGAGAGAGAAGGUGAGUGUUGUUUCCGGUGUCUAUGCACAAGUAAGUUGUGCGCGUCGCUGUCUUGAUUCGUGCCUCUCAACAUUUCCACAAGAGUUGGUUGAAUAAAAAGAAAAAAAGAUAAGGACUUCAUUUAUGAAUAUACAAAAAAAAGGUUGGAAAGAAGAUGAGGAACCUGCGAGGCUUCGUUGGGAUGGUGAAGAAGGUAGUCAGACUUGUGGAACCCCUCCUCGAGUUUUCUCCUUCGCCAUGUGAGCUUCUUUUUAGCUUGUGAAGUCGCUUCGGCACAUUUGGUUUGCACUUGCUGGCUGUGGCUGUGCAGUCUGCUGUGCUCUUAUCAUCUACAUUAAUUUUGGUUCUAUAUUUAUCAUACUGUAUUCAUGUGUUAAUAAACAUAUUUACUUA